GGGCAAAUGGUCUAGGGGUAUGAUUUUCGCUUCGCAUCAUCCAAACAUGCAAUUGUGAAAGGUCCGGGGUUCAAAUCCCCGUUUGGUAA
rnacentral:tRNA from 1 species